rnacentral:misc_RNA from 1 species
AAUGACAAUUUUGAAUAGGUGAUCUAAUCCAUAUUUGGAAUUAAUUUUUUUGUACAAAACAAUUAUUACGUCAUAAAGAUGUUAUCAUGACGAAAAUCGUAUGUAGUUUAUCAAAAUAUAUAAAACUCGCAUUCGAAACCAGUAAAUGGUCACAUUGAAAACGUUACAAAUCAUCAAACUUCACAUUGCAUUUAUUUGUGGUUUAACUUUCUUGGGGUUAUUCUACAUAAGCAUCAUGUCUACGGACGAACGUUGUAUUUUCUGCAAAAUCUGCGCGCAUAAAGAAGAAGCGGCAAUUUUAUAUGAAGAUGGAGAAUUCAUUGUGUUCAAAGAUAUCAAACCAGCCACUGAACAUCACUAUUUAGUAAUUCCUAAAAUUCAUAUUAAAGGAGCUAAUGUUUUAACUAAAGAGCAUUUGCCGAUGUUGGAAAAAAUGGAACAUUUAGCAAAACAAAUUUUACAAGAACAAGGAGCUUCCUUAGACGAUAUCCGUUUGGGCUUCCAUUGGCCACCUUUUAACAGCAUUAACCAUUUACAUUUACAUGCAAUGGGACCUGCUAAAAAUAUGGGAAUUAUAUCAAAGUCAAUAUUUAAACCUGAUUCAUUUUGGUUUGUUACUCUGGAUUAUAUGUACAUUAGACUUAACAAACUCUAAUUAUUGUUGUUGCACUAACUUUUAGAUAAUUGUAUUACUCACAAGUUUAAAUUUUAGAAAUUGAUGGUUUUUUGGUUGUGAUACUAAAUAAUUUUUUAUUGUUUGUUUUUAUUAAUGGUUAUAUACAAAAUUUUAACUAAUAAAUCAAUAAUGAAGGCCCCACUGCACUAUGAUAUGUAACAACACCAUCAUUUCUCCACUAACACAAAUAUAAAAAAAUUGAGGGGUUUUGAAAGCCUAAAAAAGGAAAAUAUUCAUCAACAGUCAAUUUUAAAUUAUAAUUUUUAAUCUGCUGAUGAAUGUCAUACACACUAAUUAAAUUUACAGAAAAUUUUUACGUAAAACGAUAUAUGCAAGUAUAUGUAUGAACACAAAGUAAAAGAAAUAUUUUGAUAAAUUUUAUAUUUUGCGUAAUUUGAAGUGAAAAAACGAAAUCCAAUUCAAACGAAAUAAUUUCGCGGUUUUUCUGUGUCGUAGGAAGUGCAUAGUCUCAACAACUUAAAUUGUCCGUUAGAUGGCGCUCGCGGUAUGACAGUUUCAAAACAAAACCAUGGAUGUAAUAGAGAGUCUCUAUUGCAACCAUGAACAAAACAUAAUAAACAUAACCUAUAAAUA